AGUGAACGCUGGCGGUAGGCCUAACACAUGCAAGUCGAACGGCAACACAGGAGAGCUUGCUCUCUGGGUGGCGAGUGGCGGACGGGUGAGGAAUACAUCGGAAUCUACUCUGUCGUGGGGGAUAACGUAGGGAAACUUACGCUAAUACCGCAUACGACCUACGGGUGAAAGCAGGGGAUCUUCGGACCUUGCGCGAUUGAAUGAGCCGAUGUCGGAUUAGCUAGUUGGCGGGGUAAAGGCCCACCAAGGCGACGAUCCGUAGCUGGUCUGAGAGGAUGAUCAGCCACAAUGGAACUGAGACACGGUCCAGACUCCUACGGGAGGCGGCAGUGGGGAAUAUUGGACAAUGGGCGCAAGCCUGAUCCAGCCAUACCGCGUGGGUGAAGAAGGCCUUCGGGUUGUAAAGCCCUUUUGUUGGGAAAGAAAUCCAGCUGGCUAAUACCCGGUUGGGAUGACGGUACCCAAAGAAUAAGCACCGGCUAACUUCGUGCCAGCAGCCGCCGCGG
rnacentral:rRNA from 1 species